UACGUCCACAUCACGUUGAAACACCGGUUCCUGUACGAUCACUAGAGUUAAGCAACGUCGAUCCAGGUCAUUAUCUAGAUGGGUGACCGUUUGGAAAUACCAGGUGCUGUAAG